CAAAGGUUAAUCUAACUUAAGACUUUUGAUUUCGGCUCAAAAAAUUGAGGUUCAACCCCUCAACCUUUGC
rnacentral:tRNA from 1 species